UACGUAGGGUGCAAGCGUUGUCCGGAAUUAUUGGGCGUAAAGAGCUCGUAGGCGGUUUGUUGCGUCUGCUGUGAAAACCCGAGGCUCAACCUCGGGCCUGCAGUGGGUACGGGCAGACUAGAGUGUGGUAGGGGAGACUGGAAUUCCUGGUGUAGCGGUGAAAUGCGUAGAUAUUAGGAAAGACCACCGGAUGGCGAAGGCACUCUACUGGGCCAUUACUGACACU
rnacentral:rRNA from 1 species